GCUGGGUGUGGUGGCUCAUGCCUGUAAUCCCAGCACUUUGGGAGGCUGAGGCGGGUGGAUCACCUGAGGUCGGGAGUUCGAGACCAGCCUGACCAACAUGGAGAAACCCCGUCUCUA
rnacentral:SRP_RNA from 2 species